rfam:Gossypium raimondii Chr05_contig_1016, whole genome shotgun sequence.
CAUAGGCAGUGACUUGGUUAAGGGAACCCACCAGAGCCGUAGUGAAAGUAAGUCUUCAUAGGGAAAUUGUUACUGCUUAUGGACCCGAAACUAGGUGAGCUAUCCAUGAUCAGGAUAAAGCUUGGGUGAAACUAAGUGGAGGUUCAAAUCGACUGAUGUUGAAGAAUCAACAGAUGAGUUGUGGUUAGGGGUGAAAUGCGACAUGAACCUAGAGCUAGCUAG